UAUUGAAAUAAUGCUGAAGUUCCUGUUGGUAUCAGGAUUGGAAACCUCUGACACAUCUACAGAGAAAUAUUUUUCAUUUCUGUUGAAAUAAUGCUGAAGUUCCUGUUGGUUCCUGGUCUCUAGAGCUGUCCCUGGGUUUGAUUCUCAGUUUUCCUAAAGCAAAUCUUCUGCCCCAAACCCUUUGUGCAUUUUGUGUGUCUGAACAGAUAACAGAAAUCACUUAAGCUUUGUGACUUGUCUGCUCAUCCAGGGGCCCACAGCCUCUUAUUUGUCUUUCAGGAGAUUUGUCUGUCUUUAAAUCCAUAACAUUCAAAAAAAAAAGAAGAAAAUCCAUCUCCUUUUCCUUGUCUGGAGCAGAUUGUUCCUUUCUUGAGCUGUGGUGCCUCUUCCUUUGAUCAGAAAUCCUUUAAGGCAGGGCCUGCUCUGUGUCAAAUCACACCCAUUUCAACUUUAUAUCAAAUUAACCAUUACUUCUCAAAUAUGUAUUGAAACAUCAGCACUUGUUACUGUGAUUUCUGGAAAAAAUUUAUCCUCUAAAAGCUCAAAUCAACAGGUGGAUAAAUCCCCUUUGUGUUUGGAAGGUAAGGGGUGGAGUGUUUCUUGUGGUGUAAAUUCAUCCUGAAUUUGUCUUUCUAUUUAAUAACUGUGCUGUUUGAUAUGUUAGAGAUAAUAUAUUUAUGGUAGUUCUCAGAAUUAAAUGCUGCCCAGCCUGCAGAUAGAAGGGAAGUGAAAUCAAUAUACUGAAUUUCCUGGAAUUAUUUAUUUGGAUUUAUCACAUCUAUCAAGGCUAAAAUAUUGAAAAUGCUUUUCCUACUUUGAUAUAACACCUCAGUAUGAUCUCUGUUGCCUAAAAUACUAACAAAAUGUUGAAUUUAUUGAAGGAUUGAAAGUUCAGAGGAGAUGCAGCAGAAGGAAAGCUGCCCUUAGGCAAAGUGGCUCCUCCAGAGAGAGAAAGGUACCAUGGAUGAAAUUCCUGUGCUGAGGGGCUGCUGAGGGCCAGGGUGCAGGGGAAUGGAGAAUAAUUUAUUAUAUCAUUUUUCAAGUGAAAUAACACAAUGAAAUUGUUUCUUCCUGAUCUGCAGAGCUCUGGUUGACACACUCAACCUUUGUUUUUCAUGGGAAACACAAAGGCACCAACCAUGCCAGGCUCCUUUCAACAUUCCCAACAAUUUGAUAACCUGCAGUGUUAUAGGCUGUAAAAUCCCUCUUAUUUUAUGACAUUUUUCUAUUUAAAUACACUUUUAGCAUGGUGUAUAUUGAAUUAUUAACUGAUAUAAAUGAUAACCUUUGAGUAUUUCAAGUACUGUAUUUCUCUGAAGCAGUUUGGAUAUAUUGAAUUUAUUUAUAAUAUAACUUAUUUAUAUUUAAAUGCUUCAAUCUGCAUAGUUGCUGUAUGCAAACCAGUAUUCACACAAAUUUGUGCAUUGCCUUGCUAGAAGGAAGCACACAAGCAGCCUUGCAGGAAAGGACUUCACUGUGUUGUGUGUGGAGCUGAAAUCCUGCCCAAAGCUCAGGGAAUUUUGAGAAAAGCUUGCUACAGUAAUAGUGAGCUGCAAAUAAUCUGGAAACUCUUCAGAAAUGCCAAUAUAAGAAGCAAAGAAUCCAUUAAUAAUUGUAAGUGUAAGCUAGAGGCCAUUUCAGAAGAUGAUAAUGUGAUGUUGGUCAUCUCAGAUGCUGCCAGUCUUGGUCACCUUAAAGAGACUUUGAAGGUUUAUCAGAUGCCAGUGAAAGACCUGAAUGGCAGUUUAUCUUUAAAUGCUCUUUGGAAUGAGAAGGAAUCUUCUCUGACAAGUUACUUGCAGUGCAGGAGCUGUGUCCUUCAGUCCAUUUCUCCAAGCCCUUUGAUAGGAGCUGAGGUUACUCACUUCAGUAAUAAAGUGCAGUCAUGGGUCUGGCUGCUUCCCUCCUCUGUUCAUUAUUGCUUGCUGCUACAGAACCCUCCAGAACUGCAACCAGGA